rnacentral:rRNA from 1 species
UACAGAGGUCUCGAGCGUUGUUCGGAUCCAUUGGGCGUAAAGGGUGCGUAGGUGGCGCCGUAAGUCGGGUGUGAAAUUUCGGAGCUUAACUCCGAAACUGCAUUCGAUACUGCGGUGCUUGAGGACUGGAGAGGAGACUGGAAUUCAUGGUGUAGCAGUGAAAUGCGUAGAGAUCAUGAGGAACACCUGUGGCGAAAGCGGCGCACUGGACCAUAACUGACGCUGAGGCGCGAAAGCUAGGGGAGCAAACAGG